CUGAGUGGACAUUUGGGGAAUGACUAAUGUAGGGAUUGGAGUCAUAGUCUGAUUUACAGAUGGUCGUAGGUUUUUAUAACAAAGCAAAUGGAACCAUCAAAGGGUUUGUGCACAGUGGAUAUACAUGAUAAGAAACAGAGACAUACAAGGGAAAGACAAGUGAUGACAUGGAGAGGACAGGGCUCUACAAGCCAAGAAAUGCCUGAAGCUGUUGAUGUGGGGAGAGGGGCCAGGAGCAGAUUCUUCCUCACAGCCUCAGAAGGAACCAUCCCUGCUGACACCCUGACUUUGUACUUCUAGAUUUUCAAGUUGUGAUAAAAUAAAUUUCAGUUUAACCGCCCA